GUUGGAGGUGUGUUUUGGAAGGGGGUGGGCUGGGGCUUGGGAAAGCCGAUUGGGGCCUCCCCUUCGGGAUCCCCCCCAGCCCCCCGCCGCGAUAGUGCCCGAGGGUAAAGCCUUAGAUCCUGGCCUUCCUGGGGGAGGGGAUGUGGACAGGGCGGGUCUUUGGAAAUGCAGAUGAGUCGUCUCCCGCUGCUGGUCUCCUGGGUUGAACUUUAGUGACUCAGCCACCCUCACCCCACCCCCACCCAUUCCACAGUGAGGGCCGCCUUGUCAGCUGGGAAAGGGGGGGGGGGGACACAGCAUUUCUGUGACUCCCUUUCUAUCUAGUAGACCCUGUUGGUAUUGCAUUUGGCCAAUCCAUUCUCUCUGAACCUACAAACUGUGGAAUUGCCCUAACAGAACGUCCGAAUUUACAGGUCUUGGCCGGAGACCGGAGCCAUGUCUGUGUUAUCCCCACUGUAGACAAUCCUUGCUUCCUCUGGACAUCUGGAGCAGGCCCAAUUUGACUGAGAGCCUUCCCCCACUAAGUUACAGAUCCAGCCCCACCAUCACCACCAGAGUUGAGUCCAAAUCCAACACUCUAGGCCGGGUAGUGCUGGGACUUUGCCAGCCUCCUGCUGAGGUAGGGCUGGGUGAGUAGGCAGGCUGGAACGGGUGGGGUGGCCGUGUGCUGUCUGAACCCUCCCCAGAGCUGGUCGCUUUUGGUCAUUUCCUCCCUGCAGACUUGCUCUUCCUCCACACAGGUCUGGGGGAGUUUGUGGGAAGCCAGGAGCCCUCUCUUGGUUAUAUGUAGUAGAACAAGUUUUUUUUCUUAGAAGUGAAUUCUCCCCUUGGCAAACUGCAGCCAGCCAGCCUCCUGGGUCGAGAGCCAAGCCAAAAGAUGUCUGAGAGAAGAAACCUGGGGUCCUGCAAAGGUAAGUGGGUCCCAGCCCACUCUCAAUCCCCCUCUCUCUGUGUGAUUGCUAUUCCACACUGGAGUCACCUGCUCUGUGCUUCUGAGGAACCUCACCUCUGGCACAUCAAUGGAAAUUGUCCUUCCCUUUUUAUUUAUUUUUAUUUAUUUUUUAUUUUUUGCCACCCUCACUGGCCACUAAGAGAUAGCCCUAGCUCCUCCUCUCCUGCCUGGUUUUGACAGGACUCACUCCAUUGAGUCCUGUCUCGUCUCUUUGCAGCCCUCCUCCUCCCCCCCCCCCCCCUUCAGCCAGCACUUAGGCCCUCCCUGAUUUAGCCCGUUACCUUGACAACCACUUGGGCCUGUCUCCCUCAUCACCACUGAAAACCUGAAGGUGGUUUUCCAGCUGCGGUACAUUUGCCCAAGUUGGGCACCCCUCCAGCUUCUAUUGGCUCGCCCUCUAUACAGCUGUACCCAAUAUAACAAACACAACCUUCCUGGCCCCUCAGCUGUAGUCUCGAAAUUGAUCUCACUGGUCCCGGGAACUCCGUCAAUACUGCCUCCUCUAGACUGAGCUCCUCACAGGCAGG
rnacentral:lncRNA from 1 species